CUCAGGGGAGAUGACAAACUUCCAUCAGGCUACCAACUGCUUGAUCCAAGGAGCCAGCCUACAUGGGCAUACCAAGUGAUGGGAAACUGUGGCAAUGUGGGAGACAGCUGCAAACUGAAACGAUUCAUGGACAGACUUUUUUUCAACCCUCCGACGUUGGGCAAGGCACUGCUGCCAUGUUUAAGAGAAAACAGGCUGUUGUAUUGCAGGCUCUAGGGAUCUUUGCCACUGAGAGGCUAAAGUUAUUACCCAAUCAGUUUUCUGACGCACUGAGUGAGAAGAUAUGUACACUGAGGAAUGCAUUCAAGUGAAUGAGCCAAGUCCCUUGAAGGACUGCCUGCUUGCUGUGAAGAUCCAGGAUAGAAUUGGUCUUCAGCAACCCAUGCUUGCCGUAAAUGGUGGCUCAUGCUGUGUUGGGAUGAGCAAAAUGGCGCCUGGUCACCCCCUGGUGUUUGGCAAAAUGUCACCUAGUAUUUGGCAAAAUGGCGCCUGCUUUUUGGCAAAAUGUCACCUAGUAUUUGGCACAAUGGCACCUGGUGUUUGGCAAAAUGUCACCUAGUAUUUGGCACAAUGGCGCCUGGUGUUUGGCAAAAUGUCACCUAGUAUUUUUGGCAAAAUGGUGCCUGGUGUUUGGCAAAAUGUCACCUAGUAUUUGGCACAAUGGCGCCUGGUGUUUGCAGAGUUACGUAAGAUCUAGUUGUGAUAAUGCACACCAUGUUGUCGUCGAUAUGAACAAAAGAUCUAUUCCUCCACAUGCAUGUGAGCUGGUUCCCCACAUCGUGAUACUUCCUCCACCGAAACUGUCAACUUCUUGUAUGCAACAUCUGGCGCCAUGACAAUCAUUCCAUUGCCGAUGCACGCUGAUCCGCUCAUCUCUCCUUUGAAGUAGGAAACAGGAUUCAUCACUUAACCACUUGCCAACAUUGGUAUGGAAAGUACUUGUGAAAAUGUUGUUACCUAUGGAAGCCUUUUAGGGCCAUAUGUUUUUAUAUAUUUUUCGAUACUAUCUUGAAAUUUCAAGAAACUAAGUUGAAAUUUCAAGAUACUAUACUUCUAUUUCAAGAAGUUGCAAUUUCAAGAUAC